GGCAAUGCUGACUGACUUGUGACUGUCUGCAAUACUGUGUUGGAAAGGAUUCUGAGGGACACUCUAUCUUCUAGAGCAAGAGGACUGGAAUAGGUGUCAAGGCAAACUUCCACAUGCAGCGCCUCAUUUGGAUGUGUCUGGAGUCUUGGAAGCUUGACUUCCCUACGUUCUCCUACACAUGGACCUGGAGAGCUUGUUUGGAGGUUCUAGCAGGGGAGCGCAGCUACUUGUAUACCCUCAACCGAAGACUGGUCCGUCUCUGUUGGGAAAAGCCGUCCUCUUUGACUGAGUCUAUCCUCUACCAGCCUGGAACCUUGAACUCCCAGCCAUGGCCCAAUCUAACUGCUCUUCAGCCAGAAGAAUAUUUGGCAGUGACACCUUUGCCUUUGGAGUCAAGAAACAUACCCUGAAAGCCCCAGCUCUGUCUUUGAGCAACACCUUUGC